AGAUUAAAACCAGGUACCACCAUUCGGUAUUGGUGUGACCUUGGGCAAACCACUUGUCCUCUUUAGGCCCUCCCUUUUGAAUCUGUGAAAUGGGGAUAGUAAUCACACCUUUGGGUUAAUUAGUUGAGAAAGUAUUUUUUGAGCACUUAUCAUGUGCCAGAUGUUUUAGGUACUAGAGGGACAGUGAUGAACAAGAGGAGUCCUGCUGUCAUGGAGUAUGCAAUCUACCGAAUGGAGAAGGACAACACCCUUCAGAAUAAGAAGGGCUAUGCAGAGAAUUACAGCAGAGGGGUGUGAGGGAGGGGCAGCCACUUCUGAUUGGGCAAUCAGGGAAAGCCUCUCCAGGGAGGGGCAUUGAAUCAGCCAUGUGAGAUUUGCCUGGGUGUGUUUGGGCAGAGAGAGGAGCUGGUGCAAAGACCCAUGGAUAGAAAAGUGAGGAUCACAGAAAGAAGGCCCAAGUGGUCAUUUGCUGGUAGGAUAAUGGAAUGCUGUAGGGUCAAAGAAACCAUGAUACUCACCAAAGAGCCCAUCUGAUCACCAUAUUUCCCAGCCACUGCCAUUGAGCAGGCCAGUGGCUGUGAGCAGCAGGAAGCCCAGGUAUGGUUCUGCAUGCUUCUCUCUUUCUGUGUGUUAAAGCUCAAAGCCACACACUGGAAUGGUGGAGUCUCCAUCAUCCAGCAUCUCCAAGUACGUGGACGAGUAUUCCCCAUGAACCUGUGUUAGACCUGUCAUCUGAAAGAGAACUAACUAAGCGUUUGUGUCAAACCAGUCAGAUUUUUGGAGGGCGUCCCAGAAUCCCCAGGGGAGGGAACAGGGAACUGUUUUAAAAAGCCCUCCAGGUGAUUCUAAGGCACACUGAAGUCUGAGAACUGCUGUGUAAGGUGGGAGUUCUGUGCAGGAGGGCUGGUUCCCUGCCCAGGCUCUCCCUGAGAAGGCCAGACAACUGCAUUCUAACUUGCUUGAAGGGUAGAGAAAGAAUGGGUGGUUUAUCUGCUCAGCAGGGGCAGGCAAGGCUUUGAGGCCUGGUGACCUGGUAUUGGGUCUUCAAGGAUGGGCAGGAUUUGCCAAGUGGGAAUUUAGAACUUAAAAGACCUACUAUGUGCAGCUAUAAUUCUCAUAGCUAAUUUAGACAGGAAUGGAUACUAAAACCAUUGGGUGAGAAUUUGUUAGGGAGCAGGAGAGUCAUAUCUUCCUACAGAAUGUUUGUUAAUUUACAAAAGGCGGGGGCUAGCAUCUUUGCAGUGGAGAGAAUUGUGACACCCUAUUUUAAGUUCAUCAUGAAAUGUAAGGUUCAUUACCCCAAAAUGGGACAAAGUGAUACUAGUGUCCCCUGAUGUGUGACAUAUUGGAAGGCACAUUAUUUCUGUGCUCUUCCUGCCACAAAUGCAAAACCUGAAUCAUGAAGGUGAUAAAAUAUUGUGUUUUUGAAAAUGGCAAUGAUGUGAAAGAAAGGUCGAAACGUUCUGGAUUAAAGGAGGAUAAAGAGACAACUAAAACAACUCAUGAUCUGAAUUGGAUUCUUAGCUGGAAAAGAUGCUUUAAAAGAUAAUGUUGGGACAGUCAAAGAAAUUUGAAUAUAGAGCACAUAUUUUAAAAUAAUACAUCAAUAUGAAAUUUCAAUAAUUUAUACUGUGGUUAUAUGAGAGCCUGGCCUGUUUCCUAGGAGAUGUGUGUUAAUG
rnacentral:lncRNA from 1 species